CGUGUAGGCGGCUCAUCAAGUCUGGUGUGAAAUCGACAGGCUCAACCUGUCAUAUGCGCUGGAAACUGGUGGGCUUGAGUUCUGGAGGGGAAGCUGGAAUUCCAGGUGUAGGGGUGAAAUCUGUAGAUAUCUGGAAGAACACCGGUGGCGAAGGCGAGCUUCUAUCCGAGGACUGACGCUGAGGCGCGAAAGCGUGGGGAGCAAACAGGAUUAGAUACCCUGGUAGUCCACGCUGUAAACGAUGUGCACUAGGCGUGGGGCACGUACGUGCUCUGUGCCGUAGUUAACGUGUUAAGUGCACCGCCUGGGGAGUAUGCUCGCAAGGGUGAA
rnacentral:rRNA from 1 species